AGCAAAACUACGUCGUUUUAUCUCACCACUAUUAGCUUCAAUCUCACUUAAUCUCGUUUUCGACAUUCAACUCCAAUAUCCGUCGCCGGAAAACACAAAAAAACGAAGGUUUGUUGUUCACCGGACUAACGCCGGCCAUGGCUAUGCACGCUGGAGUAGGCUUAACAAAGAUCGUCUUCAUCGUCGGAGCAGGGUAUACUGGUACUUUGUUGUUUAAAAACGGAAAAUUAUCGGAUGUGAUAGGCGAGCUUCAG